rnacentral:lncRNA from 1 species
AACAUGUAUAAGCUGUUAUGGGAUAAGGCUCUUCACUUAUUGCUGUUCCACUUCACAUUGCUAAAUAUUCUUCAAGCUAGAGAGAGGAAGAAUAUCUCAGUGGUCUCUGGUGAAGUGCCCACUGGCUGUGUGCUCAGAUGCUGCAUGCCCAGGAGCACCAUUGUUGUACUUACAUGGGCUGUCUGAACAACAUCACCUGUGUGCACUACUUUUAAAAUAUCCUGAAGAGAAUGUGCUUAGCAGUGGUAUAUGCGCAGGGCAGACAUUAGUGAUCAGAUGGUAGAUAUGCAGCUCACUGAAUACACAGCUUUACCCAAUGUUAUGAUGAGCUCAUAUCCCUUCGAACAUUAUUCAGGUGCAUUUUGAGAGGACAACCUCAUGAUCUUUAUGUAAGUGUGAAGAAAUCUCGUGCAUUCCGUAUAGUCA